rnacentral:lncRNA from 1 species
GAAUUUCUUAAAUGACUUCAUUUCCAUCCUUCUUGUCGAUUUGAUCUUCCAAAGAUGAAGACAAUCGCCAAGGGGGCUGUUUUUGGUGAUCAAGAGAAGAUAAAAGAGGUAAAGGUUUAAAGAAUAAAGAAAAAACCAGAGAGAAUUUACUUUCAAUCUGUUUUGAUGAUGAAUGCUACUUUCUGUCUAGACUUCUUAUCCUUUGGGUGGGUUCUUUAUGCUCUUUGGGACACAAAUUAAAGAAUAUUUGCUUUUCCGAAUGCCAUUCUCUCUUUCUUUUUAUUUUUAUCCUUUCCUUUCUAAUUUGACAUUUCAUGUGGACUUUUAAAUCCUCUACCAUUUCCUUUCUUUAUCUUUUCAGAAGAAUUCCACCUUUUCCCGUCCCUCCCUUAAUCUAAGCUGUUUCAGUAUGUGUUCCCCCAUUUUUCCAACUUUUUAUUAGUUUUUAAUUUCUCACCGACUGGUGGGCCUUCAGCUCACAUGCUUGGCAACCACCGCACCAACUCCUGCAGCUGUGCAUGUGCCUGCAUGUCGCUACUCUGCUGGUGAGACGAAGAGUAAAAUUUCUGAUCCUAUUUGGUCAGAUUUACAACAUUUACCCAUUUUGGCAGAGCUUUGAAGCAGCAUCUUCAGCCUAAGUUUCUGCAUUUUUGAAGCAGCAAACUUGCUGUAUUUGGAGAAGUAGCAGGCUGGAUAACAUGGGGACUCUUAUGUUUAUAGCUAAUCAAUAUUUCUUCGAUCAUUCACUACAUAAAUCAGGUGAAACUUGGCAAAACCUAUAUCUAUCAUUUUUGAGCACAGGAAGAGUUACUAGACUGGUUAUGUGAUAUUAUGAACACCCAUAAUAGAAGAAUGACUGAUUUGUUGAUGGUUGCAAAAAACAUAAAAGAUAAGAGUACGACAAUAUUUCCGUAGAAACUUGUCCAAUUGCCUUCAUAAGAAAAUAAUGCAGGCAAACACAUAGAAGAUGCACACACAAGCACACAUUACAGUUACUACGAUCUGAGGUAGCUUCUUAUUGUUUAAAAAUCUUGAUCAUUUUGGUGCCUUGACAGGAACUGCUGGGAAAUCAAGCAGAACAAUCUUCUCAAUGGCUGCUGAAAAGGUAGUAGAAAACUCAACAUGAUUGGGAUGGCUCAGAAAUGCAGUGAAGUCCCCCUGGUUAUUGAAUGUCAUCAAGAAGGCAUGGGUGAAGCCUUGUCUAAGCAUCUCCUGGCUUUCAAG